rnacentral:lncRNA from 1 species
AGGCACUAAGCCAGGAGAGUGGAGAAGGAGGAGGGUGAGCAGUGGAUAAAGAGAUCUGUUUUGUUCACAGGCAUCUGAGCAUGAGAUGGCAGGAGGGUUCCUGUGAUUCAGCUUCUCCCAGUUCUCCAAUAGGAACGCUGCCCAAGCUGCCAAUGCAGGGCAGGAAUAACAGAGUGUUCAACGUGGUGACAAUUUCCCAGCUCCCCAGGCUUUUUGCUUCUAGAGCUGAUGUUUGAAGCUGGCUCGUGCCCACACCAGUUGGAAAUCAUCACCAUCUGAGACCUGGUCCUAUAAUGCAAAAAAUUCUCCAAGGUCAGUGGUAGCUUUGUAUGCAGAGGGGAUUCAUAAUAAACCUUUCUUAAUCGCUUUUCA